UUUAGGAUAAGGAAUAUUCAGCCUGUACCCUAUUUUGACAUAAACUAAUAUGUUUUUCUGGCAUUUUAAAGAUAGCAACACCUCUUUGACCAUCCUUCCAUUGAGGAACGGAUCAGUUUUUCAUCCCCUUGAAUCUAGGCUGACCUGUGACUGUUUUGUUGAAGAUACUACAGAGGAAAUGAUGCCACACCAGUUCAAGACUCACCCUUUAAAAGGAUUGGCAGCUUUCAGCUCAGUCGCUUGGAGCCCUGAGCUGUCUUAGAAGAAGGCUGACUAUUCCUAUGUGAGAGACCACAUAGAAACUAAAAAUACUUGGAAGAGGACAGGGGCUUAGCUGAGCCCAACCUUCCAGCCAGCUCCAGCAGGGUGGCAAGUAUGAGAGUGAGGAUAUCUUGGAGCCUCAGCAACCUGUGCUAUGCAAUAGCCUUCAGCCACAUGUGACUACAGAGCACUCAAAAUCUGGAGCAUCCUGCGUGAUUCUAUAGCGCUCAACAGGUGUCUGCCAAGCGGACAGACUACAGACCCCUCGGGUCGCAUGAUGCUGAGCCUCCCCUUGGACACAUGAAGAUUAAGUUAGUCAAGCAUGGAGAUUCCUCCCUCUUCCUCACAAACUCCAGAUGUUUGGCAUCUUCCCAAUAUCCUAAGACCUCCUGGACUGGGAACAAAAUGAGUGCAGUGAAAGAGGAAGCAGCUUUAGUGAAAGCACCACAGGGAACAAACCAAUAAAAAAGCAGGGGACUCA